ensembl:lncRNA
AACCCUGCACGCUUUCCUGUGCAAUGUUCUGUAGGAAACCUGCCUUAGCAAGUGUUAGACUUGAUGAUCUCCAGAAAUCCACCCCAGCCCCUAUGACUGAUUUUAUGAAAUGGCACGUGAAAGAGCAUCAAAAGCCUUAUCGAGGUUGAGAUAAUCAACACCUGCUGAUCUCCUCUCACCCACCAAACCAGUGGUAUAUUCACAGAGGAUUAUCAGGUGGAUCAGAUGUGAUUUCCCUAUCAUUUUAACUCAGAACUAAUUGUUGGUAGAUAUAAAUUACUGGUAACUUUAUUAUCUCAGCUUCAGCCUUUGGCCUGAAAGGGAAAUUGGAGGAAUUUGAUUUUCAUUUUUUGUCUGAGCUGAUCAGAAACUUUUUCAUAAAUGUAGUGAGGAGUUAUUUUUCCACAGGAUUUCAAUUUCAUUCAGCGUGAGGUUAGGAUGACUUCUGAACAAAAAUAGAAAGCUUAGUUGAACACUGGCACUAGAAGUCAAUGUUGAGCAGUUAACUUUAUCAUUGUGCAAUGAGUGUUGGCUUGAGCAAGGAACAACACAGAUCCCACAGAGAAAAACUACCUUAUUUUCACAGUAAAUAGGUGAGUGAGGAAAACAGUUUCUAUCUGAAUGAACUACUUUAUUUUGCUGUUUCCCAGCGUGGACAUUCUGCUGUAGGUCACUUUAACUUUCUUUUAGCACUCCCUAGGAGUACAGGCCAAAGCUUGCAUAAUAAAACUAAAAAUAAAACCUUUUCUGUCUCCAGUUAGUUUUUGUCUGUUUCCAUUUUGGAUUGUUUUUGUUAUAGGUGUUUUUGUUGUUGUUUUGGCUUUUUGUUUGAUUGGUUUUGUUUUAGAGGGGACUUUUUUUUUUCCCCUCAGUUUACUCUGGCAUCUCAUGAGUCUAUGUUUUACAGUUAAGGUUUUUUGGAAUGACUCUAAGGCUAUGCACAAAUAGAAGCUUGAGAAACCUGCACAGAUGUGCAAGUUCAUUUGGAGUUGAAAGUGCCUAUUCUAAGAAGGAAAAGUCCCUGCAACUAGGGAAGAUGUCUAGGGCAUGUUAGUAGCUAUGCUUUACCAAAGGAAUUAGUUAACUGACUGCCAGCCCUUUCUUGUAGGCUUUGUCUCAACCUCUACUGCAGUGGCUGAUGCCGAGGCUGCGUCUGGAAGAAGCCCUUAUAGCUAAAUAGUCAUGUUAAAGAAAGGUAUUUUCAAUAUCCUUCUUCUGUACACCUCAAUCAGAAUUUUCUUCUGAAGCAAGAGUGAAAUAACCCUCACUGAAAUUACAGAUCCAGGCUGACAAUCUGAUGUCCUUGAGCUGCACUGCGUUUGCACUGAUGACUGCCCAAGCUCAUGUAUACCCACUGGACCAAAGCUUUCUGUGUAGGCACUCAA